AAUGAACGCUGGCGGCGUGCCUAACACAUGCAAGUCGAGCGCGAACGAGACCUUCGGGUCUCUAGUAGAGCGGCGGACGGGUGAGUAACACGUGGAUAAUCUGCCUAGAUGUGGGGGACAACUUCGGGAAACUGGAGCUAAUACCGCAUACGUUCCUUCUUUCACGAGAGAAGGAAGAAAGGCUUCGGCCGCAUUUAGAGGAGUCCGCGCCUGAUUAGCUAGUUGGUGGGGUAAUGGCCUACCAAGGCGACGAUCAGUAGCCGGCCUGAGAGGGCGAUCGGCCACACUGGGACUGAGACACGGCCCAG
rnacentral:rRNA from 1 species